rnacentral:rRNA from 1 species
GACGAACGCUGGCGGCGUGCUUAACACAUGCAAGUCGAACGGAAAGGCCCGGCGUUUGUUGGGUGCUCGAGUGGCGAACGGGGGAGUAACACGUGAGUGACCUGCCCUUGGCUGUGGGAGAACUUCAGGAAACUGGGGCUAAAACCGGGUAUGAGAUCGGGCGGCAUGGGGGGGUUUGGAAAGAUGGGGCGGUUGGGGAUGGACUCGCGGCUUAUCAGCUUGUUGGUGGGGUAGUGGCUUACCACGGCUUUGAGGGGUAGCCGGCCUGAGAGGGUGACCGGCCACAUUGGGCCUGGGAUACGGCCCAGAGUCCUACGGGGGGCAGCGGUGGGAACUAUUGCACAAUGGGCCGCAGCCUGAUGCAGCAACGCCGCGUGCGGGAUGACGGCCUUCGGGUUGUAACCCGCUUUCGCCUGUGACGAACCGUCAGUGACGGUAAUGGGUAAAGAAGCACCGGCUAACUACGUG